rnacentral:rRNA from 1 species
CAUAAUCAUUAGUUUUUUAAUUGGAAACUCGUAUGAAUGGUUAAACAAAAGAAAUACUGUCUGCUUUAUUAAAGUUUGAAUUUAACUUUUAAGUGAAAAGGCUUAAAUUACUCAAAGGGACGAUAAGACCCUAUAAAGCUUUAUAAAUAAUUAGUAAUUUAGUAAAAUAAACUAUAAAACAUAUUUUUAAAUAUUUAUUAUGUUGGGGCGACACAGAUAUAAUUUUAGUAACUAUCAGAUAAAUAAACAAUUAUUUUUGAAUAAAAUGAUCCUUAAAUUAAGAUUAGAAGACAAAGUUACUUUAGGGAUAACAGCGUUAUUCUUUUUGAGAGUCCCUAUCGAAAAAAGAGUUUGCGACCUCGAUGUUGAAUCAUAAAAUCUUUACAAUGCAGAAGUUGUAAAAG